rnacentral:rRNA from 1 species
GCCUCCUUGCAAUCGAACGGUAACAGGAAGAAGCUUGCUCUUCGCUGACGAGUGGCGGACGGGUGAGUAAUGUCUGGGAAACUGCCUGAUGGAGGGGGAUAACUACUGGAAACGGUAGCUAAUACCGCAUAACGUCCCAAGACCAAAGAGGGGGACCUUCGGGCCUCUUGCCAUCGGAUGUGCCCAGAUGGGAUUAGCUAGUAGGUGGGGUAACGGCUCACCUAGGCGACGAUCCCUAGCUGGUCUGAGAGGAUGACCAGCCACACUGGAACUGAGACACGGUCCAGACUCCUACGGGAGGCAGCGGUGGGGAAUAUUGCACAAUGGGCGCAAGCCUGAUGCACCCAUGCCGCGUGUAUGAAGAAGGCCUUCGGGUUGUAAAGUACUUUCAGCGGGGAGGAAGGGAGUAAAGUUAAUACCUUUGCUCAUUGACGUUACCCGCAGAAGAAGCACCGGCUAACUCCGUGCCAGCAGCCGCGGUAAUACGGAGGGUGCAAGCGUUAAUCGUAAUUACUGGGCGUAAAGCGCACGCAGGCGGUUUGUUAAGUCAUAUGUGAAAUCCCCGGGCUCAACCUGGGAACUGCAUCUGAUACUGGCAAGCUUGAGUCUCGUAGAGGGGGGUAUAAUUCCGGUGUAGCGCUGAAAUGCGUAGAGAUCUGGGAAUACCGGUGGCGAAGGCGGCCCCCUGGACAAAGACUGACGCUCAGGUGCGAAAGCGUGGGGAGCAGACAGGAUUAGAUACCCUGGUAGUCCACGCCGUAAACGAUGUCUACAUGAGGUUGUGCCCUGAGCGUGGCUUCCGCUACGCUUGUCGACCGCCGGGAGUACGGCGAGGGUAAAUCAAUUGAUUGGGGGCCCGCCAGCGGGGGGCAGUUUCAUUCAAUGCCGUCUGGCUGUCCAUAA